rfam:Oryza barthii chromosome 2, whole genome shotgun sequence.
AAAAAGACAAAUCCUGGUUUCCGUGUCUAACGUUUGACCGUCCGUCUUAUUUGAAAAAAAUAUGAAAAAAAUUAAAAAAACAAGUCACGCAUAAAAUAUUAAUCAUAUUUUAUCAUCUAACAACAAUAAAAAUACGAAUUAUAAAAAAAUUUCAUAUAAGACGGACAGUUAAAAUUGGACAUGUAAACCUAGGGUUUGUCUUUUU